rnacentral:lncRNA from 1 species
GAAACUUGAACCUGAACCGAUGAUCUUGGCAAUCAACUGAACCUUCUUUAAUUUAUUUGGAUCAUGUACUUCUAGCUAGCUAAAUGAUCUGAAGGUCUGAAAAACUGAAGUUGAAGUGAUUCUUUUGGUCCAUGUAAAAAUUUUCUCCUGAGGUGAAGAUGGGAGGAUGUUGUUUGUUGAAAAAAAUAGGAGGAUGUUUCCUUUCUUUUUGAUCCUGAACCAAAAUGCUAGCUUAUAUCAUGUAUUCUUGUUCAGACUGCAUAUAUCAUGAAUCCAUCCACUAUCAUUCUCAUUCUCAAUUGAUAGUUUAAUUUAGACUUGUAAUCUAUUGUACAAUAUAUUUAGUUUAUUUCUAUGCCCGAUACUAUCAUUAUCUCAUAUAUCUUUUCAAGUGUUUUUAACUAAACUGUUUCUGGAAGUUCAACUAUUUUUACAAGUGUUUUUAAGUAACUAAUUUCUAUCUCUCUCCAGAUUCCUAGAUAGUAACUGUAUGAUAAUGCUUCUACUUCUUUUGUUAGUUCUUUCUUGUUGAUCACACGUCUGCUAGAAAUGGUUGCCUCUUAAGGAUGCUCUGAAAAUGGUGCUACAGAUUUUUGUGCCGUAGUUCCGUUGUUGGUUGCAGGACACUAUUGUGUUGAAAUGUUAAUACCCACUGUUGGCACUUGCAGACUUGCUAAUAUGUGCAUAUUUUUGGAGUUGGAGUUCUUGUGUUACUUGCAGAGUGCUUGGUGGAACCAAUGCAUAGAAGCUAGAACUUCCUGACGUCGAUGUAAUGAAUGGAGGUAACCAUCUGUGUGCUGUUUUAGUAAUGAUGGGAACUAGAAUGUGGCUGGAACCAGAUAUGAUGCUUGAAUCUUCUAAAUGCGCAGCAAACUGUCCAUGCACUUGAAAUGUGUGGAUCACAACAGUGUAAUAUUCCUUUUGUAAUGCGUUGUCAAGGCCCAGAAUGCAAUGUGAUCAAAUUAUUGUUUUGUAGACAUAUGUCACAAUUUAUCAGCAUGCAACAUCCGAUCAUUAGCUCUCAUUUUUUUUUGGAUUGGAUAGAGCCAUGAUUUGAGUUUAUUGAUGGUCGUGUAAGGUUGGUGCAGAUUUAAAAUUUUUUAGUGACUUUUCAAUUGGAUUCUAAUUUUCUGAUUUUUCUAUGAUUUUUAUAAUUUUUGAAGAAUUUUUUUUUGCUCAAGAGGAGUAUUUAGCCCCUUGGUUUCCAAAUAGGGGUAGGGAAGUCCCACCCGAGUGGGGAGCUCCUCCCAUGGAAGUAGCGUGCCAUAUAAAUCCCUGUCGAAGGUCUUCUUCCCUGGGUUUUCCUCCCCCCAGCUGCCAAAUUAAGCCUAAGAGGGGUGAAU